rnacentral:rRNA from 1 species
AAAUUGAAGAGUUUGAUCAUGGCUCAGAUUGAACGCUGGCGGCAGGCCUAACACAUGCAAGUCGAACGGUAACAGGAAGCAGCUUGCUGCUUUGCUGACGAGUGGCGGACGGGUGAGUAAUGUCUGGGAAACUGCCUGAUGGAGGGGGAUAACUACUGGAAACGGUGGCUAAUACCGCAUAACGUCGCAAGACCAAAGAGGGGGACCUUCGGGCCUCUUGCCAUCAGAUGUGCCCAGAUGGGAUUAGCUUGUUGGUGAGGUAACGGCUCACCAAGGCGACGAUCCCUAGCUGGUCUGAGAGGAUGACCAGCCACACUGGAACUGAGACACGGUCCAGACUCCUACGGGAGGCAGCAGUGGGGAAUAUUGCACAAUGGGCGCAAGCCUGAUGCAGCCAUGCCGCGUGUAUGAAGAAGGCCUUCGGGUUGUAAAGUACUUUCAGCGGGGAGGAAGGUGUUGUGGUUAAUAACCGCAGCAAUUGACGUUACCCGCAGAAGAAGCACCGGCUAACUCCGUGCCAGCAGCCGCGGUAAUACGGAGGGUGCAAGCGUUAAUCGGAAUUACUGGGCGUAAAGCGCACGCAGGCGGUCUGUCAAGUCGGAUGUGAAAUCCCCGGGCUCAACCUGGGAACUGCAUUCGAAACUGGCAGGCUUGAGUCUUGUAGAGGGGGGUAGAAUUCCAGGUGUAGCGGUGAAAUGCGUAGAGAUCUGGAGGAAUACCGGUGGCGAAGGCGGCCCCCUGGACAAAGACUGACGCUCAGGUGCGAAAGCGUGGGGAGCAAACAGGAUUAGAUACCCUGGUAGUCCACGCCGUAAACGAUGUCUACUUGGAGGUUGUGCCCUUGAGGCGUGGCUUCCGGAGCUAACGCGUUAAGUAGACCGCCUGGGGAGUACGGCCGCAAGGUUAAAACUCAAAUGAAUUGACGGGGGCCCGCACAAGCGGUGGAGCAUGUGGUUUAAUUCGAUGCAACGCGAAGAACCUUACCUGGUCUUGACAUCCACGGAACUUUCCAGAGAUGGAUUGGUGCCUUCGGGAACCGUGAGACAGGUGCUGCAUGGCUGUCGUCAGCUCGUGUUGUGAAAUGUUGGGUUAAGUCCCGCAACGAGCGCAACCCUUAUCCUUUGUUGCCAGCGGUCCGGCCGGGAACUCAAAGGAGACUGCCAGUGAUAAACUGGAGGAAGGUGGGGAUGACGUCAAGUCAUCAUGGCCCUUACGACCAGGGCUACACACGUGCUACAAUGGCGCAUACAAAGAGAAGCGACCUCGCGAGAGCAAGCGGACCUCAUAAAGUGCGUCGUAGUCCGGAUUGGAGUCUGCAACUCGACUCCAUGAAGUCGGAAUCGCUAGUAAUCGUGGAUCAGAAUGCCACGGUGAAUACGUUCCCGGGCCUUGUACACACCGCCCGUCACACCAUGGGAGUGGGUUGCAAAAGAAGUAGGUAGCUUAACCUUCGGGAGGGCGCUUACCACUUUGUGAUUCAUGACUGGGGUGAAGUCGUAACAAGGUAACCGUAGGGGAACCUGCGGUUGGAUCACCUCCUUACCUUAA